rnacentral:rRNA from 1 species
AGGAUCAUUACUGAGUGAGGGCCCUCUGGGUCCAACCUCCCACCCGUGUUUAUUUACCUUGUUGCUUCGGCGGGCCCGCCUUAACUGGCCGCCGGGGGGCUUACGCCCCCGGGCCCGCGCCCGCCGAAGACACCCUCGAACUCUGUCUGAAGAUUGAAGUCUGAGUGAAAAUAUAAAUUAUUUAAAACUUUCAACAACGGAUCUCUUGGUUCCGGCAUCGAUGAAGAACGCAGCGAAAUGCGAUACGUAAUGUGAAUUGCAAAUUCAGUGAAUCAUCGAGUCUUUGAACGCACAUUGCGCCCCCUGGUAUUCCGGGGGGCAUGCCUGUCCGAGCGUCAUUGCUGCCCUCAAGCCCGGCUUGUGUGUUGGGCCCCGUCCUCCGAUUCCGGGGGACGGGCCCGAAAGGCAGCGGCGGCACCGCGUCCGGUCCUCGAGCGUAUGGGGCUUUGUCACCCGCUCUGUAGGCCCGGCCGGCGCUUGCCGAUCAACCCAAAUUUUUAUCCAGGU